AGAGCCGUAGGUCGCCGGCUGUUAGAAGCUAAUGGUGCUUUGUAAUCUGCAGUCCAGGGAGGCUGGCAGGGGUCCCCCGGCUGAUAAGCAUCUAGGCGCCGGGCUGUGCAACCCGCCUCGGCGCGUGCGGGAGAAUGCACCGGAAUUAAAAAUCCGCGGUCGGCUCGGCCACCGUACUCCGGGUUUACGGGAGCUCGCAGAGGACAAAAUGUCGCGCGCUUCUCCGAGGGCGGCUCUAACUAUGGAGUGAGGCAAGAAUUAGGAGAAGUGCUGAAACUACGUCCAAGGCGGGGAGCGCCUCGGUUAGAAUGAGGGAAACAAAGAGGAUAUCCUUUGGGGGAUGAUGGGUGAGGACCUACCGCAUGAGAAGUGUGGCGACGGCCGAAGACACUGAGGGACUGGCGGGUUCAGGCUAAGGGCAGCUUGGACGAUACCAUCUACGGAAGGGCGUCGGGGCGAUACCAUCUUAAGGGUGCGAAGGGGGUGGCAAAGAACAGACUUGGAAGGAGCUACUUUGGAGGAGGCAGGGCGCACGUGGGAACCCCAAGGGACUGGACAGUCGCCCACAUCCCCAUUUCCCUUCCCCAGCCGUCCCGAUCCUGCCAUGAGCGCUCUGGUGCGGACCGAGCCGCUGCCCGGGGAGCCGCCUCUGCUAGUGAGCGGCGACCCCUACUCCGUGGUGGUCCUGCUGCAGGGCUACGCCGAGCCGGAGGGGGUCGACGAUGCGGUACGCGCCGACGGCUCCGUGACGCUUGUGCUGCCUCAGGCCUGGGGCUUAGCCUCCAGCACCCGAGAGUCCCCGCCCGAGGGCGGCGGGGCGAAGACCGCCCUGGAGGAGGUGGCCCGUGGCCCCAUUCUCGUGGACACCGGCGGCCCCUGGGCUCGGGAGGCGCUGCUGGUGGCCCUGGCGGGGCAGGGCGUGGCCCCCGGAGACGUGACUUUGGUGGUGGGCACCCACGGACACUCGGAUCACAUCGGGAACCUGGGGCUUUUUCCCGGGGCGGCUCUGCUGGUCUCGCACGACUUCUGCCUCCCCGGGGGCCGCUACCUCCCCCACGGGCUAGGUGAGGAGCGGCCCCUGCAGCUGGGCCCGGGGCUCGAGGUGUGGGCCACGCCGGGCCAUGGGGGCCAGCGGGACGUGAGCGUGGUGGUGGCGGGCACGGCCCUGGGCACCGUGGUGGUGGCGGGCGAUGUGUUUGAGCGCAACGGAGACGAAGACUCAUGGCAAGCGCUGAGCGAAGACCCGGUGGCCCAGGAGCGGAGCCGAAAGAGGGUCCUAGCAACUGCGGACGUGGUCGUGCCUGGUCACGGAGCCCCCUUUAGGGUGGUCAGGGAAGCCCCUCAGCCAGGGAACUGACGUCCAGAAGACCAGAGGAACCGCCCUGUCAGCCGAGUCAGAGGAGUCAGGGGUGAUCGCUUGCAGCCCUUGCAAGAGGCCGGUUUUCCAGCGAGGACAGUCAUCUAUAUGACUGACAAACUGCUUCAGCUCUGCUGGGACUGCCUGCUGCCUGCCAGACCCGCCUGCCUCCUUCUCCCACAGGCCUGCCCUCCUCCCUCUUCUGUACCAUUCCAAUCAUCCAGGCUCAGCUCAGCUCAUCUCCUACAGAAAAGCCUCCUCUGAAUUUUCCACCCCUACUUUAAACUCUUGUAAUGCA